rnacentral:rRNA from 1 species
ACUCCUACGGGAGGCAGCAGUGGGGAAUCUUGCGCAAUGGGCGGAAGCCUGACGCAGCAACGCCGCGUGUGGGAAGACGGCCUUCGGGUUGUAAACCACUUUCAGGGGGGACGAAGCCACUCAGGUUAAUAGCCGAGAGGGUGACGGUACCCCAGCAAGAAGCCAGGCCGUAUACUACGUGCCAGCAGCCGCGGUAAUACGUAGGGGGCGAGCGUUGUCCGGAAUCAUUGGGCGUAAAGCGCGUGUAGGCGGCUUGGUCAGUUUGGUGUGAAAUCCCGGGGCUCAACCCCGGAACUGCACUGAAUACUGCCUCGCUAGAGUCCGGGAGAGGAGUUGGGAAUUCCCAGUGUAGCGGUG